GGAGAGAUGGCAGAGCGGUCUAAUGCGGCGGUCUUGAAAACCGUUGACCCAAAAGGUCCGGGGGUUCGAAUCCCUCUCUCUCCGCCA
rnacentral:tRNA from 1 species